rnacentral:rRNA from 1 species
GACGAACGCUGGCGGCGUGCUUAACACAUGCAAGUCGAACGGAAAGGCCCCCUUGUGGGGUACUCGAGUGGCGAACGGGUGAGUAACACGUGAGUAACCUACCCUUGACUUUGGGAUAACUUCAGGAAACUGGGGCUAAUACCGGAUAGGAGCUCCUGCUGCAUGGUGGGGGGUGGAAGGUUUCGGCGGUUGGGGAUGGACUCGCGGCUUAUCAGCUUGUUGGUGGGGUAGUGGCCCACCAAGGCUUUGACGGGUAGCCGGCCUGGGAGGGUGACCGGCCACAAUGGGACUGAGAUACGGCCCAGACUCCUACGGGAGGCAGCAGUGGGGAAUAUUGCACAAUGGGCGGAAGCCUGAUGCAGCAACGCCGCGUGCGGGAUGACGGCCUUCGGGUUGUAAACCGCUUUCGCCUGUGACGAAGCGUGAGUGACGGUAAUGGGUAAAGAAGCACCGGCUAACUACGUG